GAGCUCGCUGCGGCAGCUCAUCUGCUAAAACUGGGAUGAUACAGAGAUUAGCAUAGCUCCUGUACAAGGAUGACAUGCAAAUUCGUGAAGUGUUCCAGAGAGAG